rnacentral:lncRNA from 1 species
AAGAAGAUGAGUGGUUUGUACAGUUACACAUAGCAAAUAGAAUAGAUCUAUUUGCACAAAAGCAAGAAGAACAGGGAAAAUCACAGCAUGGCCAUACAAUAGUGUGAGAUUUGACCUCAGUUUAUUAGGGAAAGGAUAGCAGGUGCCAUAACAGACUUGGGCAAUUAGAAACAUGCCAGGUGGAUUUUCUUUUACAACUACAAAAGCAGCCUUAAAAUCUAAGACUUCUAAUACAAUUUUUAAAAGUGUCCUUGAUCAGUUUUAAGGGUUUUGUGUGUGUGUGUGUGUGUGUGUGUAUUUAAUUUCAAAGAAUACCUUUAAGUUUUCUUCUUUUUCAUUUUCAUGGUGAAGAAAGCAGCAUCUGGUUCAUGGUGCACCCCUGACACUUAGUAGACCCCAAAUUGAUACCUGAAAGCCACUGAUAUAUUGGUAAUGGAAUGGGGCAAUCUUAUGAAACAGAUCUUACUUAUCCAGUUUCUACUUAGGAUAUCAAGUAGCUUGCCCAUGAUCAACUACCUAGACCAGCAAUUUAACAGAAGUAGUGAUGCUCCUUUGUGCUCCCAAACAAAUCAGCCUCUGAUUUCCCAGUUCUGAUGAUCUGCUGAGCCCAUGCCUGGAUCCUGGGUAAGUCCUUGUCUCAGUCAGCUACCCACUUUGCUUCCUGACAGAUUUUUCUCCCUGGAAUUUCAGAUUUGUGGCUCUUCUCUGAAGUAAUUUCUUGUACCUCUACUUAUCAAUGUCCAUACUCACCUCUCACCAUUCCUACAUGUUUUCUCCCACAAAUUCAUAUUAGCCAGAUGCCCAAUUACCAGGUUGGUCAUACUAGGUGAAAUUCCCUAAUUGAAUUUUCCAUGCAUAGGUACUCCUUCAUUCUAUUACAACUUUCCGUUCCCAAUUACAUUCUGUGAUUUCUGCCCUUGUACAUUGCUCAGAUAUGGCAUGAUACACAGUCCAGGAUGGGCUAUGUAAUCUUCUGUCACACUAAUCCAUACCUAGCACUUCUGCUUAAGUUUCCAGUUUAUCUCACUUGGAAAAACAUAGAUCUUUGGAACUGUGAGAUACACUAAGGAAAUAGUAUCUGAUCCAGCUCACAAGAGAGUUUGAACAUGGCUUAUAUUAAACAGCGUGGUGGUAUGCUUCUCUGCUUUUCUUUUUAUUCCUUCUUCCUAUUAGUUCAUAUGCAUUUCAUGCCAUCUGGAAUCAACUACAUUUUUAUUACUUACGGUGAUCUUCUUGUCUAGUAUCACCUGAAAAAAUAUUUG